GAAAUUUUGAAUGAACUUUUUUAGGAAGGUGAAUAUAUCAAUGACUCAACUCUUUACAAAAGUAAAUUAUUUAAUAAUGAGUGUUUUUUUAGUUGGGGCUAGUGCACAAAGAAAAUGUUUGAGUGAGAAAGAUGAAGGAGAAAGGGUUGAGAGGAAUGAAAGAGGUGAGUAAGAGUUUGGAGUUUCUUUUUUUAGUUUUUUUUAGAAUGAAAAUUAUUAAAAUAAGGCAAGUGUUUCUUAUUUUUUUUUCCAUUGGGGCUAGAGUAAGGAUGACAGAGAAAAGGAAAGGUCUGAGUGAAAGAGAUGAGAGAGAAAGGGUUGAGAGUAAUGAGAGAGGUGUGUAAGGGUUUGGGGACUUCUUUUUUUAUUUUUUUAAUUUUGAGAAUGAAAAUUAUUAAAAUACCCUCAACCUUAAAACAUAGAAUUCAUG
rnacentral:lncRNA from 1 species